AUGUUUGCUUGCAUUGCAUUGGUAGUUUGACAUACCUACCUACACAGACAUAGUAAUCUGUGCAUUCAAUCGCGAUUCUUUCUUGCUAGCUGUCUGUAGUGCCGUGGUUAUUGCAGAUUAGUUGGACUGCGAUUGAUUUAAGUACGAAUCAAUAUGACGGUGAAAGAGGGAACUCCCGUAUACGGAAACAAAUUUCAAAUGGCCAAGCUCUGCCCCCUUUUAGCACCCAAAUAUUAUGAGCAUCUGAUGAAUGAUAAGGGUAACUACAGUCCAGUACGAAAUUGGGAUCUGAUGAUGGGUUCAAACAGCUUGGUGACUUUCUUCGCAAAUCUACAAAAGGAGAUAGACAGGAAGAAUGGUAUUCCUGAGCCAGAAAAAGUGGAUCCCAAUGAGCUAUUCCACAUGCAGAUUGACUUGUAAACUGAUUACAUCAAGCCAGUUUGCCUACCGUUGCCAGUAUUAUUUUGCCAAGAAGAUUUUAUGUUGAUAUGCAACCUUUUUAUUUAUUGGUCAUAACUAAUUAAGUUAACAAUGUAAUCCUAAAGAGCUUUUUCUGUACAUUGUUUGUAAUCUUAUCUAUUUUAAUAUUAAGUUUAUUUUUAAAUGAUAUAUAAGUUAAAUUAUCUUGGGUUGGAUUGGCAGAAAGUGUUGAAAGAACAACAGCUAGAAUACAGGGACUAAUAUAACUAGAAGAAGACUGAAGGCUUGGAAACUGAAUAGUAUUUACUUUGUUUAUAUUCAUUUAGAAAUAUGAAUUGUAGACAAGAAUUAUAGUUUAUGAUAUUUCUUUAUAAUGCCUAAGUUAAUGGUGGACAAUUUGUUUUUAAUUAUCAUUUCUAGUCAUGAUCAGUGAAUAUGUUUCAUUUGCUGCAGUAGAUCACUAUGUAUGUUUUGCCAUGUAUUAAUUAUAAUUUAACCCUAAAA